GUUUACUACGCGAAACCUCAUCACCCAAGCCAGCGAACCUGUGAUUUGAGUAAGUAACCGGUUUGUGCGUGUAUGUGUGGACCUAUCUGUCUGUACUGCACCUUACUGUGACCGCCGCGAUUUAUCGAGUCUCAUUCAAGUUGAAAACCGCGUCGUGAAAUCCGCAUCGUGUUUGCUGUUUCCUCGGGCUCUGGUUUUACUGGUUCCGCAGCAAACUCCCAUCCUCCCUUGUAUCGCAGACGAAGGUAAACCGGACCGUGGAAACAAGCCGCGUCGGCGGAUCGCAACACUCGAGAGGGGUGGAGAACGGAAUUCUGGAAAACGCGCGCACAACUUUUUUGCCCAUUAGUUUCAUACGGAGGGAAGAAAUGACGAAAGGCAAACAGUGAUAUACAGCUCAGGAGAGCGUUAGCGACGAAGAAGUGAAGUGUUGUGUGUGUGCGCCUGUAUGUGCAAAGUGAGUGUGUCCGCCAAGGGCGAGAAGCGCAAGAAUUACAGGCAAAUAAAAGGUCGCAAUAACAACAACAGAGGCAGAAGAAACGCCAAUUGGAAUAUGAAGUAAGGCAGCGCCCUCUAGUAGCAGAAACGACAACUGCAGCGAGCAGCGACAAAAAGGCGAAAGAGCGAAUGGAGCCGUCAAAAUGAGCGAUACCGUACGUCGAAAAUAACCUUCCUCAACGCAAGUCACGGAGCAAACCUUUAAUAUACUCAAGAAUAUUUCUCGCCUAAUCACUGAAAACAUACACAUACACUAGCAGGCACAAAAAUAUAUGAAAGGCACACCAGUGCAGAAAGGGCAACUGAUGGCUGGCCCACAGCAAACAAACGUGAUUUGAUAGACGGAAUCUUAAUAGUGUUUUGAAUUCGGUAAAACCGACGAAAAACCGUAACCAUACCCAACGCGUCUGUGAAUAUGUAUAACAAAUUUUGCUGUUAGAUGAGAGUUACUACUAUUUAGUCAUUUAUAAAUACGCGUACAUUUCCUAUAAGUUAGAGCGUGUGCUGUGUUUAGGUUAAGCAAAAAGUUCUAAUCAUACAAGUGUAAUUCUAGAAGAGAGACCUGAAGCUUUGGAUCAUUUUCGUGUAGGAAAAUUCUGUCUAGUAUAUGCGCGGUAAGAAAAACACCAGUGUUGAAACAGUGUACUGCAACAAGUAGUGAGCCGGUGUAAAACCUACUCCGCUGAAUAAGGAAUAGAAACCCCCGCCAAAAUACGUCUACAAUGUUGCCGAAGCGUUCUCGUUUGGGCGAUGUUCGCGGUCCUAUCUCGAACGGACCGAUGCAGUCGCGGCCGCUGGUCGCACUGCUGGACGGUCGGGAUUGUUCGAUCGAGAUGCCGAUCCUGAAGGAUGUCGCCACAGUAGCGUUCUGCGACGCACAGAGUACAUCGGAGAUUCAUGAGAAAGUAUUAAAUGAAGCUGUAGGAGCACUGAUGUGGCACACAAUCAUCCUCACGAAAGAAGAUCUGGAAAAGUUCAAAGCGCUGCGGAUAAUAGUUCGCAUCGGAAGUGGAGUGGAUAACAUCGACGUAAAGGCCGCCGGCGAGCUGGGAAUCGCCGUGUGUAACGUACCCGGUUACGGUGUUGAAGAGGUCGCAGAUACCACUAUGUGUCUGAUAUUGAACCUUUACCGGCGAACGUAUUGGCUUGCGAACAUGGUUCGGGAAGGCAAGAAAUUCACAGGUCCGGAACAGGUUCGGGACGCGGCACAGGGUUGCGCAAGAAUACGAGGAGACACCUUGGGACUAGUUGGGCUUGGCAGAAUAGGAAGUGCGGUAGCUUUACGAGCGAAAGUGUUCGGUUUCAACGUGAGUUUCUACGAUCCGUACUUGCCGGAUGGCAUAGAAAAAUCCCUUGGCCUGAACCGAGUGUACACCCUGCAAGAGCUACUAUUCCACUCAGACUGUGUGUCGCUACAUUGUACAUUAAAUGAACAUAAUCAUCACUUAAUUAACGAGUUCACGAUUAAACAGAUGAGACCCGGUGCAUUUCUAGUGAACACAGCCCGCGGUGGCCUGGUCGACGACGAAGCGCUUGCCCAAGCGUUGAAACAGGGCCGAAUCCGGGCGGCUGCAUUAGAUGUUCAUGAGAAUGAGCCAUACAAUGUAUUUCAGGGUGCCCUGAAAGAUGCCCCCAAUCUACUAUGUACGCCACAUGCCGCCUUUUACAGCGAAGCGGCCACGACCGAGUUGCGAGAGAUGGCUGCCAGUGAAAUUCGACGGGCAAUUAUCGGCAAUAUUCCGGACUGUCUACGGAACUGCGUAAACAAGGAAUACUUCCUGCGAUCGUCGACAGGCGGCGGCGCUGGAGGAUACUCGGAAGAUAAAAAACUUAUAGCUGGUAUAAAUGGCGGCUAUUAUUCAGGUGGAUUACAACAAGCACAUAGUACAACACCGCUCGAGGCACCGCACAGUGCUGGAUCACACGGGCCGCCCAGUGGUCCCCCACCACCGUCAGUCGCCGUACCACCCGUCUCCGCUCUCACAGCACCACCACCACAAGGUAUACAACAUUCUAUGGUCAGCAAAUCGAUCUACAAUUUCGCUAAAAAUUAUACUUUAGAAAGUCCCGUAAAUGCUCUUGAAGACAAUCGUUGAGGCCUAAUUCAGUGCUGCAGAAUGGAUGGGGGACGGAUGAGUAAACACGGUUGCGGAGGAGUCUCAUCCAUCGUGCCUGCGUAUACUGCCACACCAUUGCAUUGAACUACAGAAUCAUAAAACCAUCCUCUUAGUGCCCCCGAUCCAAGUAAUCAUCAUUCGGUUAAGCCGGAAUCAUCGGAAGUACAUUAGUUUCAUUAUUAUUAUUAUGUAUGGCUUAUUAUUAAUUACAAAUAUGAGACAAAAAGAAUAUUUGAGAGAAUAGGAGCAAAACAAAAAAUGCAACUUUUUUUUAUUUGAGCGUCAGUAAAGAAAGCAAGCACCCAAGUGAGCGGUGGAAACAAACCACAUAGAACAACGGCAGAAUUAUAUAUUGAGGAUCAAGAGCAAAUAAUGAGGAUCGAUAAUAAUUAAAAUGGUAAACAGUAAGAAAGAAAAUGUGAGAAAUACUUAUUAGUAAGAUGUGAGAGGUUACUGUAAAAAGUAUAAACAGUAACAAGAAGAGAAAAAAAUAAUACAGAAUAGUUUUGUGUAAGAGAAACUAUGUAUAGAGAUAGUACUACAGGUGUAAACAAAAUAAGCAGAGCAACACCCACACAACAUCUAUCAUAAUAUACUUUUGAAACAGGAAGUCACCCAUUUAACUACUGACAAGAAGCGAAAACUGUUAAUUUUGCUAACAGCUUGAAUUUCCUGUUUCAUACGGAAAAUUGUACAAAAUGGGGUUCACUUCAAUGGAAUCAUAUUUCUCUAACUUACAUUCGCCGACGAUAAACGUUGACAAAUAGACAAAAGAUUUGAAACAAACUGGAUUGUACUCACAUCAAUAAAGUUACACAAAUGAAAUACGCCUAUAUGUUGUAGUGGUACAUUUAAAAUGAAUUGCUUCCUUUUUUGUUUUAAAACUCUUGAUAAUACUGAAUCGGAUUAUAUUUUAUUUUUCUUUGUAAGUAGAAGAACAGAAAUUCCUUUUAUAUUUUAAUGUAUGUAGGGAUAACUGAAAGAAAUCAAGUAGAAGAGAUAGAUAAAGGGAAGGAAUAAAUGAGUACGUGUGUACGUAAGUCGUUCAUUUUGGAAGGUUUAUAGGAAUCGACAAAAUGAAAAAUGAUUUAGCAUAUAUUGAGCCACGCGUAAAGAUCUCCAGCAAUCAGAAAGGGCCCUCACUACUGUUAAUAGCAAAGGAGAAUAUACCCCAACGGCAGUCGGUUCGAUUUCAAACUUCUUACUUUCGCUGUGUCGUUUUCUAGUUCAUUACAUUGACCUGGACGUGUUAUGAUUAUUAUUACUGAGAGCGACUUAAGAGAGUGCCAUAUUUCGAGUGCAUUUUGGAAACUUCAACUUAAUGGAAUCUUAUCUCUUCAAACAACUCGAGUUAGGUACAAGUUCAAACUAAAUUCAAACACAGGUAUUUCUUCUUAUAUCAUUCUUGUGGAAACGCACAGUAAGUUCGGACAAACUUAGUUAUCCAACUUUGGUAAUCUUCGGACCUGUUUUCUGGACGGUAUAGUGAGGUGCCACUUUUGGUUUUUUCGAACUUCCAUUCGUUGGCAUAGACGGCACGACUUGUAGAUGUAGAGAAAACUAACCGUGAAAAAAACAGAGAAUUGUGAAACGCGAUCAGACAAACAAGUUUUAAUCUAAAUAAUAAGAACAGGAAACCCCUAACCGUAUGCUUUAAGAAUGUAAGUGAAAAUAUUUGAAGAAUCGUGGAAAUAAACUAAAAUAAAAACGGGAUAUGCAGUAGAUGAUCCAUACAGAGACACCGAUAAUGCCGUAGGCAUGAUCACUCGAUCCAAGCAUGAAAGAUAAUAGUAUUCGCACGUUACUAUUUCAUACCAUAUAUGGGCGUCUAUUGAGACGUUUUUUCCAACGAGUAGAAUUUCCCUUCCAAAAGAAAUUUAAACAAAUCGGACUGUCGACCGAAGAUUCAUAGUUUUCCUUGUUGAGCAAACAUUAAAAUAACUUUUGUAUACCAACCUUCCUGCAACAGGUUAGAGCACGCAACCCGACACAGUAAAUGCCCUAUUACGCAGUACUGAUAGGAGUAUUUACCAGAAAAAGUCAACGUGAGUUUACAGAAUGUAUCACAACAGCAGAAAAAACACUAUAGAUUUUACUCUUAUGUAGUGCUGGGCAUUUGUUGAUUGAAACCAACUUACAAAUUAACAAGAAAGUCAAAUAAAAAAGAACGAUAAUAACGAAACAAACAUUCAUUCCUUUGCGCAAACAAAUGAUUGAGCAACUAAUACGAAGAAGAAUAAUGGUCUGUUAAUGAA